rnacentral:rRNA from 1 species
UACAGAGGGGGCAAGCGUUGUUCGGAUUUAUUGGGCGUAAAGGGUGCGUAGGUGGUUAUGUAAGUCAGAUGUGAAAACCCAUGGCUUAACCAUGGAAUUGCAUUUGAAACUACAUAGCUUGAGAUUAGGGGAGGAGAGUGGAAUUCUCAGUGUAGCGGUGAAAUGCGUAGAUAUUGAGAAGAACACCAGUGGCGAAAGCGGCUCUCUACCCUGAUUCUGACGCUGAGGCACGAAAGUUAGGGGAGCAAACGGG